UGCCCCCUACUCUGGGAUAAGCCUGGGAAACUGGGUCUAAUACCGGAUAUGACCUGCUGUCGCAUGAUGGUGGGUGGAAAGUUUUUUCGGUGGGGGAUGGGCCCGCGGCCUAUCAGCUUGUUGGUGGGGUGAUGGCCUACCAAGGCGACGACGGGUAGCCGGCCUGAGAGGGCGACCGGCCACACUGGGACUGAGAUACGGCCCAGACUCCUACGGGAGGCAGCAGUGGGGAAUAUUGCGCAAUGGGCGGAAGCCUGACGCAGCGACGCCGCGUGGGGGAUGACGGCCUUCGGGUUGUAAACCUCUUUCGGCCCCGACGAAGCGUGAGUGACGGUAGGGGUAGAAGAAGCACCGGCCAACUACGUGCCAGCAGCCGCGGUAACACGUAGGGUGCGAGCGUUGUCCGGAAUUAUUGGGCGUAAAGAGCUCGUAGGCGGUGUGUCGCGUCGGCCGUGAAAACCUGCAGCUUAACUGUGGGCUUGCGGUCGAUACGGGCAUCACUGGAGUUCGGCAGGGGAGACUGGAAUUCCUGGUGUAGCGGUGAAAUGCGCAGAUAUCAGGAGGAACACCGGUGGCGAAGGCGGGUCUCUGGGCCGAUACUGACGCUGAGGAGCGAAAGCGUGGGGAGCGAACAGGAUUAGAUACCCUGGUAGUCCACGCCGUANACGUUGGGCGCUAGGUGUGGGGGCCAUUCCACGGUCCCU
rnacentral:rRNA from 1 species